rnacentral:rRNA from 1 species
UAAUUGACGGUACCCCAAAAACAAGCCACGGCUAACUACGUGCCAGCAGCCGCGGUAAUACGUAGGUGGCGAGCGUUGUCCGGAAUUACUGGGUGUAAAGGGCGUGUAGGCGGGAUUGUAAGUCAGAUGUGAAAUUCCAGAGCUUAACUCUGGAGCUGCAUCUGAAACUGUGAUCUUGAGUGCUGGAGAGGAUAGUGGAAUUCCUAGUGUAGCGGUGAAAUGCGUAGAUAUUAGGAGGAACACCAGUGGCGAAGGCGGCUAUCUGGACAGUAACUGACGCUGAGGCGCGAAAGCGUGGGGAGCAAACAGGAUUAGAUACCCUGGUAGUCCACGCUGUAAACGAUGAAUACUAGGUGUAGGAGGUAUCGACCCCUUCUGUGCCGCAGUUAACACAAUAAGUAUUCCACCUGGGGAGUACGGCCGCAAGGUUGAAACUCAAAGGAAUUGACGGGGGCCCGCACAAGCAGUGGAGUAUGUGGUUUAAUUCGAAGCAACGCGAAGAACCUUACCAGGGCUUGACAUACCAUUGACCGCAUUAGAGAUAGUGCUUUCCUUCGGGACAAUGGAUACAGGUGGUGCAUGGUUGUCGUCAGCUCGUGUCGUGAGAUGUUGGGUUAAGUCCCGCAACGAGCGCAACCCUUGUUUUUAGUUGCCAGCAUGUAAUGAUGGGCACUCUAGAGAGACUGCCGGUGAUAAAUCGGAGGAAGGUGGGGACGACGUCAAAUCAUCAUGCCCCUUAUGUCCUGGGCUACACACGUACUACAAUGGCUAUUACAACGAGAUGCAAGAUCGUAAGGUGGAGCAAAUCUCUUAAAGAUAGUCCCAGUUCGGAUUGUGGGCUGAAACUCGCCCACAUGAAGUCGGAAUUGCUAGUAAUGGCAGGUCAGCAUACUGCCGUGAAUACGUUCCCGGGCCUUGUACACACCGCCCGUCACACCAUGAGAGUCUGUAACACCCGAAGUCAGUAGACUAACCGUAAGGAGGUCGCUGCCGAAGGUGGAC